rnacentral:rRNA from 1 species
UAAUGACGUUGGGACAGCGAGCGGCGGAUGGGUGAGUAACACGUGGGGAACCUGCCCCUAAGUCUGGGAUACCAUUUGGAAACAGGUGCUAAUACCGGAUAAUAAAGCGGAUCGCAUGAUCAGCUUUUGAAAGGCGGCGUAAGCUGUCGCUAAGGGAUGGCCCCGCGGUGCAUUAGCUAGUUGGUAAGGUAACGGCUUACCAAGGCGACGAUGCAUAGCCGAGUUGAGAGACUGAUCGGCCACAUUGGGACUGAGACACGGCCCAAACUCCUACGGGAGGCAGCAGUAGGGAAUCUUCCACAAUGGACGCAAGUCUGAUGGAGCAACGCCGCGUGAGUGAAGAAGGUUUUCGGAUCGUAAAGCUCUGUUGUUGGUGAAGAAGGAUAGAGGUAGUAACUGGCCUUUAUUUGACGGUAAUCAACCAGAAAGUCACGGCUAACUACGUGCCAGCAGCCGCGGUAAUACGUAGGUGGCAAGCGUUGUCCGGAUUUAUUGGGCGUAAAGCGAGCGCAGGCGGAAAAAUAAGUCUAAUGUGAAAGCCCUCGGCUUAACCGAGGAACUGCAUCGGAAACUGUUUUUCUUGAGUGCAGAAGGGGAGAGUGGAACUCCAUGUGUAGCGGUGGAAUGCGUAGAUAUAUGGAAGAACACCAGUGGCGAAGGCGGCUCUCUGGUCUGCAACUGACGCUGAGGCUCGAAAGCAUGGGUAGCGAACAGGAUUAGAUACCCUGGUAGUCCAUGCCGUAAACGAUGAGUGCUAAGUGUUGGGAGGUUUCCGCCUCUCAGUGCUGCAGCUAACGCAUUAAGCAC